GUUUUAUGGCGCGUCACAAUCAUUACUUCUCUUAUAAGCCACCGUCUAAGGAUGGCGUUCUGUAAAUACUCCACAUCAUAGUAAAGGUUUCAUCUGGCUGGUGCCCACAGUUUUCUCUUCGUAUUAAAUGGGUUUUCACGUAAAUCUGUGUGUCGUGCUCUGUAGUUUGUUGGUAUUUCUUUUUAUCUGUCGAUUCUGCUAACAUGCAGCAGUACUACCGGCUUGUUCGCCGCCGGCGACCGGAGGAGGAAUGCUCGCCGCCGCCCGGCGUGCUCGGUCUGGGCACUCAGGCUGGGGCGGAGCAGCAGCGGGAGUAAGAAGGCAGGCCUCGGCAUCGUCCGCAACCUCGACGGAUAGUACGAGGACACCUUUAACGACGUCCAGCGGGUACCCGUGCCUCAAACCUCAUACUAAACUAGGAGUCUCUUGCACUUAACUUUCAUCACUUUUCAUUACUUGUGAUGAGCUUCCCUCCUUCUGUCUGUGGCUGCAACAACUGAUGAACCACUUAACCUAAUAAAUCUUAUUAGGUUGUAAUUUGUAUGAAAGCUACUAGGCCCCCGCGUCGCCCCUUUGGCGACUUGGGCGGCUGCAAGCCUAGCCGCCGCCAACUCCCCUCCCUCCCCAUCUCUUUGCCUUGCCGCCGCCGGAGCUAGCUGGUGGGUUGCCCGCGCGGCUAGCAAUGAAGGCGGUGGUGGGGUGCUUGCUGCCCUGCUCACGCGUCCAACCCGUGGCAGCGCUGUCCGUCCACUCAGGCAGCUAGCCUUCGGCUGGGUGCGCGCCCGCGUGGAUGGCCCGGUGGCGGCAUCUGCCCAUCCCUGAUGCUCGGGGGGUUGGAGGUGUGCCUUGACUGCGUGCUCGCGCAACUGAUGCGGGGAGGGCUAGAUCUGGCGCCCCUAGGGCUGGGAGCAGUGUCGGCCCGUGGAGGGAUGGAUCUGGCGCGCGCGAGGUUGGCGGUCUCCGUGUGCCAGCCGUCGGAGGCGCUGGGAGGCUGGUCCCGGGCCAGCGCAUGAGCGGGGGUGGAGUUCGGCGUUGGUGCGCCGGCAGGCCUGCGCAGUCGGUCGGAAUGGCGGUGGCUGGACCUCCUCUCAUCUGCGGCUGCGUCGGCUAGUGACUCGGGCUAGCGCAGGGUGGUGGUGGCGACAGGCCCCAAAAUCUUCAUCAUUGUGCGAGACGACGGGGCAGUGGCGACGACGGAGGCAACUUGUUGUGUCUCGAGGUUUCUGCCAGAUGCUGUGCUGGGAGCUCUUGGGCGAAAGUCUCGGCGACGGUGACGCUCAUGGGUGCCGCUUCACCUGUUGAGGGCGUCGCAUCCCCAACGUUAUCUUCCUUGGGUGAAAGCUCGGUCGAUCGCGGAUAGGCGACAGUGGCGUCACGGUGACGUCACUCCCUUCCUGAAGACGUCGCUUCUGAAUUUCGUCUUGGCCAUGACUUUGCCUUCGGCUAUUGCUUUGCUUCUCAGCAACGUGAAGUCGGAGAUGCUAUUUCAGGGGAUGUGGCUCGUCAACGAUAACAUGAGGCGAACCUCCCUUCUUCGUGGUCCACAAUAUUUCGAAGGUCGGGCAAAAACGAGAGGCGGGGCGGAGGGUCAAGAUUGAAAGUCGGAGCUGCUCUGUGCCUUGAGCCCGGCAACGAUGACCUGUUGAGACCUUUCGUUUCGAGCUAUUUAUCUGUUUUUCGUUUGGUUCGCCUAUCAUCUGCUUUGGGAAGUCGGAGUUGCUGGAAGCUCUGCAUCUUUGCUUGACAGCGAUGACCUUUAGCAGUUUUGUGUGCUCUCGUGUGGGUUGUCGCUGCCUGUGUUGUUUGGGCGCUCUGUGUCGGCGGUGAUUGUGGUGCCGUAUUGAUGUUCCAAUCCAACCGACGAGUUGGGUUGUAUGAUGUCAGCGUGUUGAUGUCCCAAUCCAACCGCCUAUUAUCUGUUGUUUAGUCCGAUCCGGACCACUUCUUCUUUACUAAUAUAAUCGGUAGCUCUCUUGUUUGGUUCGUUUCAAAAAAAUUGUAUGAAUAACAAAAAGCUUCGGUAGAGGUCUGGCGGUCUCUACAUUUUCCAUUUGGAAAAAAAAUCCAAAUUACUCCACCGUACAAUGUUCACAUAAUCUACUAAAGUAUUUUAUUAGUUUAUUUUAUCUCUAAACGAGUUGGUUCAAUUUACAACCUAAUAAGAUUUAUCUUUUUUAUUUUAUUUACGUACAAAUUAAAAUUUCAGUUUAAAUUUUGUUGAUAAUAGCUAAUAGCAUAAUUUAGCAAAAAAAAACAGAUUAUGAUUCUUUAUAAUUAUUUUAAUAGUUUAGAGAUUAGGCAUGAUAAUAAUAUUAAUUGUAUAAAAAUAAAUAUUAAAUAAUGAUAUAAAAUUCUAGAUGUGCGACAUCUCUCUCGUCUCUGUCGCAUGUCUUUGGGCCUAUUUGUUUUGGCUUAUUUUUAGUUUUUGUCCACGAGAAACUAUUUCAGUUUUUAGCCCGCUUUUAUGAGAAUCGUUUUGGUAAAAAAAUGUCUAAAAUAAAUAUGAACAUAGAAUCGGCCGAGUCGACACGGAUUUUGGAAUUCGACACUUUCUAGAUCAUAAACUCAUGAACAGUUGAACACCUUCAUCUCCACACGUAAUUUUUCACGAUACUUAGAUAUUCCUACAGUCAAAUUUUUGGUAAAGCUCGUUGAAAAAAAAAAACAAAAUAGUUAUGGAUUCUUCCCAGAGUCAUAUUUUUCCAUUGUGACAAGCCACAUCAUCCACAAAUUGUAGGCUACAAAUCUUAAGCUGCAUGUAACCUUAGGGCCCCUUUGGAACACAGGGUAGGAAAACACAAGAAUGAGAAAAACAUACGAAUUGAGGUGCUAGAUUUCGUCGAUCCUAUGGAAACUCAAAACAUAGGAAUUUAGAUGGAAAGCCUUUUGGUAGCACCAUAGGAAAGGAUCGAUUUUGGUCUUCUGUACAAGGAGGUGGGAAGAGGGAAGGUUUGCCGCCAAAAUGCAAAACAACGUGCACGUACGCAGCGAUGCGUUGAUUCGCGCCAGGAAAAUUUACAUGAGGUCUGCGAUCUUUUUUAUAUUUUCCUAUGAAUUGAACAACGGGAUUGUUAUCCUAUAGAUUAAUUCCUUCCCUUUCCUGUGAACAAAAGGCGUAGAUAGAAAAAAAAAGUCCAUAGAAACAUGAAUCCUCCAAAAAUCCUAUGCCUACCCUUCGAUCCAAAAGAGCCCUUAGAGGACAUGGAUUUACUAAACUAGGGUAUCCAUUCCUAGAAAUAUCAGCUGUUGCUACUUUAUUUCCAUAAAAGACGUACUAUACAUUUCGGUCAUGAAUGAACCAAUUAACAAAUACGCAGUUAUAAGUUUUUUUGACAAGUGAGUUAUAAGUUGAAGUUUUUAUGGAUCUUAAACUAUCUCUAGUAGACUUCCUAUUUCACUCGUUAUCUCAUUUUCUAUUUUAAACUUAUAUCUACAAACAAUGCAUCUACAGUGCAAAACAAUAUUAUACAUGACCGCAUGUACGGUGUUACUAGAGUUGGCGGUAUAUAUAUACAUGAGUAUGACUACUCCAUCUGUACAGACUACAAAGCACGAGCAACAGACUUCAAUUGCCCCCUACUUUAUGGCAGUGCAAGGCUGCGGGCGAACUGUCCCAAAUUCUGUCCAUUUUGCAUUCUGACAAGUGCUUCUUGUGUUGCCCUUGCCGUCCUGCAUUUUCAGGUCGAUGUUCUGCAAGGUAAUGCCUUGGCAUGGGACGUUCUCACUGCAGUUCAUCUUGAUGGCGUCCUUGGUACUGGUCGUCCCUCUAAUGUUCUUGAAGACGACACCGCUGACCUGCACUGCUGACUCUUGUUCUCCGCAUGGCUUAGCCUUGUCGCAGUAGUUCU
rnacentral:lncRNA from 1 species